rnacentral:rRNA from 1 species
UACGUAGGGGGCAAGCGUUGUCCGGAUUUAUUGGGCGUAAAGAGGUCGUAGGUGGUUCGGUAAGUCGGAUGUGAAAUCUCCAGGCUCAACCUGGAGGGGUCAUUCGAUACUGCCGUGACUAGAGGUCGGUAGGGGAGUGUGGAAUUCCUGGUGGAGCGGUGAAAUGCGCAGAUAUCAGGAGGAACACCCGUAGCGAAGGCGGCACUCUGGGCCGAUACUGACACUGAGGAGCGAAAGCGUGGGGAGCGAACAGG